GCCAAAAAGAAAUUGUUCCAAAGGGGAAGAUAUGAUAAGAACUUUAGAAUACAGCUAUAAAACCAUAAUUGACCAGUCCGAAAUAAAAAUCUUUACAUAUUCCCGGAAUCAUCUCUUAAUUCACCACAAAACUAAUCUGAUGGCUCACAUUCACAUGGCUUAUGAUUUAAGCACAAACAGAUUCCAAUAGACAAGUCAAUGACAAAUCUUGCAAGAGCAUAGACCUAUGAUUAGGAUUAGGGACAAUGAAGCAACAUAUUACCUCAGUAAUGUAACAAAAACGCAAAACCAGCUGUGCAUGAAAUGCAAUAUAUGAAGAGGUCACAACUGACAAAGAAAAUUUCUAAGAUAGCCUGAUAUGAUACUGCUUUAAGCAAUUUUAGCAACCAAAUAGAAAAUAGAAUUAUCUGGAUCAAUAUCAAUAUGAGAACAGAAAGUCAGUGGUUUGUGCAUGAAAGUUCUCCCAACAAAUGCUCAACAUAUCAUUCUUUCUGACUCUUCAAAAGCUCAAAGUUUGAAAUUGCAUUCAAUUUAGUCCGCCAGAUGCUGUCCAAAGAAAUAAUAGAGAGAAGACAUUCACUAUCUACUAAAGAAACAGAUAGGACAGAUGAUAGUUCAGCACUGCCACCCUUCAACUCAGGAUUCUACCUGAUUAGAAAUUACAUUGCAAGUUAGCUCGUCCCAAUCAAGUACAGAAAAUUGAUUACAUAUGAACAUUACUACUCCACAAAUCUAUUUCUUACUCUUUCUAGAUGAAGUUCAACAAACAAUGCAAAAGGAAACCCUCAAAUCAACUAAGUUAGGAUAACUAUAAAUUUUAUCCUUACAAAGAAAUCGAGGCUAGAUUCCCUUCUCAAAGGAUACGUCUAUCUUGAAGAAAGCCGUUGGUGCAAAUCAUCAGCCAAUGCCUGCCUCAAGCUAUCCCCAAAAUAAUGAAAUGACUUCUCGUUCUCAAGCACCCUUGUAGGAGACCCGUUCUCAUCCGGUUCCUUCCAAAUCUCUGGCUCAGGCUCCCUUGCAACCUGACACAAAUUAUGCAACACACAACACGCAACAAUUGUCUGUGGGGCAUGAUUAAGACCCACGUUCAAAUCCUGCAAGAUCUUCCACCUCCCCUUCAACAAACCAAUAGCCUCCACCACCACAGACCUCCCCUUCAUCAACAUCCCAUCAAACAAGUUCUGAGCUGGGGUCCCUGAACCAUUUGGAGAGAAGGGUGUCAUCAAGAAUGACAACAAAGGAUAACACCAAUCCCCGACUAUAUAAGGCCUCACAUGGUGACCCCUAAUAUUAAUCGCCUUAUCCCAGACAACAUCACCUGAAACAAGCCUAUUAUACAACAAACUGUCCCUAAAAUGUGUAGCAUCAUCAGUCGCACCUGAUGCCUUGACACACACAUCCCAAAAUACCUUCUUGUGAUCAGCCACUACCUGCAACAAAACCGAAGGAAACCCAUAUCUACAUUUGUAUAAAUUCGCUCCACUUUGAUCACUGGGAAUUCUAUGGAGCUUAAUUGGGCUCCCAUCUAUAGCACCACACAUGUUAGGCAACGAAGUAAGUUCUUCAAAAGCUUGCGUAGUCUCAAUCAACCUACGCUUACUAACAGGAAUCUUAAUAAACUCAGGAUAAAGCUUUGUAGCCAACAAACGUGUUACCAUAUUAGUGAUCUUGGAAAUCAGGUAAGGCUCAAGAGAAUACCGAGAAGCAAGCGUCUUCGCGGAAUACCCAUGAGCAAGCCGCGCAAGGACCAUGGCCAUAGCAUAAUCAGAGGGCAAAGAAAGAUUGGAAGCAGUUAUAUGAGGCUUGAGCUUAUCAACAACAGUAGAGAAAACCGGAUACGAGAGUCCGUAAAGCGACCUCCAUUGGGCAUCUCGAAGAGGGGCUUCCAAGGACCAGAUGUGUUCGGUGGAGAGAGCGCGGAAGGCAGCGAUGGAUAAAGCAGCGUUAUCAGGAGGAGCGGAAUUCUCAGAGCCAGAUGGAGGGACAGAAUUGUCAAAAGGAUUGGUAUUAUUGUUGUUAUUAGUUGUGGUGUUGGAAUUUUGCUUGCGGACUUUGGAGGAAGCGAGAAAGGAGAGAAGGGAGGCGAGGGUGAAAAAGAGGAGAGGAGCGGCAGAGGAGGAAGAGAGGAGAGAGGAAGGAGAGGGAGAGGAAAGGGAAGGAGAGGAAACAGAGGGAGUGGAAGGGGAGGAAAUAAGGGAAGUUGUUGGGUCCAAAGUGUUGUGGAGGUGAAGGAGAUUUGAUAGCAUUAGCAAGAAAGAUUCAUCCAUGAUUUGUGAAAGUUUUGAAAG
rnacentral:misc_RNA from 1 species